rnacentral:rRNA from 1 species
GCAGUCGAGCGGUAGCACAGAGAGCUUGCUCUCGGGUGACGAGCGGCGGACGGGUGAGUAAUGUCUGGGAAACUGCCUGAUGGAGGGGGAUAACUACUGGAAACGGUAGCUAAUACCGCAUAAUGUCGCAAGACCAAAGUGGGGGACCUUCGGGCCUCAUGCCAUCAGAUGUGCCCAGAUGGGAUUAGCUAGUAGGUGGGGUAACGGCUCACCUAGGCGACGAUCCCUAGCUGGUCUGAGAGGAUGACCAGCCACACUGGAACUGAGACACGGUCCAGACUCCUACGGGAGGCAGCAGUGGGGAAUAUUGCACAAUGGGCGCAAGCCUGAUGCAGCCAUGCCGCGUGUGUGAAGAAGGCCUUCGGGUUGUAAAGCACUUUCAGCGGGGAGGAAGGCGUUAAGGUUAAUAACCUUGGCGAUUGACGUUACCCGCAGAAGAAGCACCGGCUAACUCCGUGCCAGCAGCCGCGGUAAUACGGAGGGUGCAAGCGUUAAUCGGAAUUACUGGGCGUAAAGCGCACGCAGGCGGUCUGUCAAGUCGGAUGUGAAAUCCCCGGGCUCAACCUGGGAACUGCAUUCGAAACUGGCAGGCUAGAGUCUUGUAGAGGGGGGUAGAAUUCCAGGUGUAGCGGUGAAAUGCGUAGAGAUCUGGAGGAAUACCGGUGGCGAAGGCGGCCCCCUGGACAAAGACUGACGCUC